rnacentral:rRNA from 1 species
GACGAACGCUGGCGGCGUGCCUAAUACAUGCAAGUCGAGCGGAUGACGAGGAGCUUGCUCCUCUGAUUCAGCGGCGGACGGGUGAGUAACACGUGGGCAACCUGCCUGUAAGACUGGGAUAACUCCGGGAAACCGGGGCUAAUACCGGAUAGGUGAUGUCUUCGCAUGAAGAGAUCAGGAAAGAUGGCUUCGGCUAUCACUUACAGAUGGGCCCGCGGCGCAUUAGCUAGUUGGUGAGGUAACGGCUCACCAAGGCGACGAUGCGUAGCCGACCUGAGAGGGUGAUCGGCCACACUGGGACUGAGACACGGCCCAGACUCCUACGGGAGGCAGCAGUAGGGAAUCUUCCGCAAUGGACGAAAGUCUGACGGAGCAACGCCGCGUGAGCGAAGAAGGUCUUCGGAUCGUAAAGCUCUGUUGUUAGGGAAGAACAAGUACCGUUCGAAUAGGGCGGUACCGUGACGGUA